UACGUAGGGACCAAGCGUUGUCCGGAAUCAUUGGGCGUAAAGGGUGUGUAGGUGGCGCGCUAAGUCGGGUGUGAAAUUUCGGAGCUUAACUCCGAAACUGCAUUCGAUACUGGCGUGCUUGAGGACUGGAGAGGAGACUGGAAUUCAUGGUGUAGCAGUGAAAUGCGUAGAGAUCAUGAGGAAGACCAGUGGCGAAGGCGGGUCUCUGGACAGUUCCUGACACUGAGACACGAAGGCCAGGGGAGCAAACGGG
rnacentral:rRNA from 1 species